AAGUCGAACGGUAACAGGGAGCUUGCUCCGCUGACGAGUGGCGAACGGGUGAGUAAUGCAUCGGAACGUACCGUGUAAUGGGGGAUAACGUAGCGAAAGUUACGCUAAUACCGCAUACGCCCUGAGGGGGAAAGUGGGGGGACCGCAAGGCCUUGCGCUCUUUGAGCGGCCGAUGUCAGAUUAGCUAGUUGGUGAGGUAACGGCUUACCAAGGCGACGAUCUGUAGCGGGUCUGAGAGGAUGGUCCGCCACACUGGAACUGAGACACGGCCCAGACUCCUACGGGAGGCAGCAGUGGGGAAUUUUGGACAAUGGGCGCAAGCCUGAUCCAGCCAUGCCGCGUGAGUGAGGAAGGCCUUCGGGUUGUAAAGCUCUUUCGGUGGGGAAGAAAUGGCACGGGUUAAUACCCUGUGUUGAUGACGGUACCCGCAUAAGAAGCACCGGCUAACUACGUG
rnacentral:rRNA from 1 species